rnacentral:rRNA from 1 species
GACGAACGCUGGCGGCGUGCUUAACACAUGCAAGUCGAACGGAAAGGCCCUGCUUUUGUGGGGUGCUCGAGUGGCGAACGGGUGAGUAACACGUGAGUAAACUGCCCUUGACUUUGGGAUAACUUCAGGAAACUGGGGCUAAUACCGGAUAGGAGCUCCUGCUGCAUGGUGGGGGUUGGAAAGUUUCGGCGGUUGGGGAUGGACUCGCGGCUUAUCAGCUUGUUGGUGGGGUAGUGGCUUACCAAGGCUUUGACGGGUAGCCGGCCUGAGAGGGUGACCGGCCACAUUGGGACUGAGAUACGGCCCAGACUCCUACGGGAGGCAGCAGUGGGGAAUGUUGCACAAUGGGCGGAAGCCUGAUGCAGCAACGCCGCGUGCGGGAUGACGGCCUUCGGGUUGUAAACCGCUUUCGCCUGUGACGAAGCGUGAGUGACGGUAAUGGGUAAAGAAGCACCGGCUAACUACGUG